GGGGAGAUGGCUCAGCGGUUAAGAGCACUGCUGCUCUUCCAGAGGACCUGGGUUCGAUUCCCAGAACCCA
rnacentral:tRNA from 1 species